rnacentral:lncRNA from 1 species
UUUUUAUUAUCACAGUUCAGAAGUCAGGAGAAAAUAGUGAUAUUUGACAUUUUUGAUGUAUUUAAUUACAGAUAUUGUGGGGGUAAGAAACAAAACAACACAAAACAAUCUUUAAGGAAGUUAACCAUACUUGAAGGUAAACCAUACUUUGUAAUGCAAGACUGACAAAAUCCGCAGCAUUAUGGAACAGCAUUAUGGCAAUGCACUAAUCAAUGUGAGGAGUCCAAAGUGAUGGGCAGGAUGUAAGCAUAUGAGAUCUGACUUUUGCAGGAUGUAGAAUGUGGUUAAUGGAGGAGAGGAAGAGAAGACAAAUAAUAAAAGCAAGGACCUUUGGUAAAUACCUGGACAUAGACAGUGGGCAAAGGAAAAAAAGAGAACACUAUUGGUAUACCAAUAAGCCUUGGACUCUCCAAUCGGCACUGCAAAAUACAUCAUCCCACAUCACCAUGUGAGCUGCUGGAAUUGGGGGUGUGGGGAGGAUUACCAUGAAAACAAACUCAAAAGCUAAAGCUACAGCAAUUUAGUCCAGUGCUAGCUGAUUAUGUAAAAGUGCAGUAACAAAAGCUGAUAUACUCUUUCCUCCUAAGUUUUCCUAAAUGUGAUGAAUAACUUAAAGCAUCAGUUCUGUUUGACAGUGAAACUCACCUCUUGGUUCCAAAGCAAUGCUGAAAUUUUUAGCAGUCAUGCACACAUCUAACCAAGUAACUUAGCAAGGUAGUCAUGAAAAGGAGUCAUGAUCAAGAUGGCACAAAAACAUCUGGUAUACACCAAACUCUUCCUUUUUCCAAAGCUGACUUGAUAAUUUACUAAGAGCUUUCAAAUAAACAAAUUAAAAAAAAAAAUACCUAUCA